UACGUAGGGGGGCAAGCGUUGUCCGGAUUUAUUGGGCGUAAAGAGCGUGUAGGCGGCCAUACAGGUCCGUUGUGAAAACUCGAGGCUCAACCUCGAGACGCCGGUGGAAACUGCAAAGCUAGAGUCCGGAAGAGGAGAGUGGAAUUCCUGGUGUAGCGGUGAAAUGCGCAGAUAUCAGGAAGAACACCCGUGGCGAAGGCGGCUCUCUGGGACGGUACUGACGCUGAGACGCGAAAGCGUGGGAGCGAACAGG
rnacentral:rRNA from 1 species